UGGGGAAUAUUGGACAAUGGGCGAAAGCCUGAUCCAGCGAUGCCGCGUGAGUGAUGAAGGCCCUAGGGUUGUAAAGCUCUUUUGACAGGGACGAUGAUGACGGUACCUGUAGAAUAAGCACCGGCUAACUCUGUGCCAGCAGCCGCGGUAAUACAGAGGGUGCAAGCGUUGUUCGGAAUUACUGGGCGUAAAGGGCGUGUAGGCGGUCGUGUAAGUCAGAUGUUAAAGACCCAAGCCUAACUUGGGAGCUGCGUUUGAUACUGUAUGACUAGAGUGCAGAAGGGGAGAGUGGAAUUUCCGGUGUAGAGGUGAAAUUCGUAGAUAUCGGGAAGAACACCAGUGGCGAAGGCGACUCUCUGGGCUGCUACUGACGCUGAGGCGCGAAAGCGUGGGGAGCAAACAGG
rnacentral:rRNA from 1 species